rnacentral:rRNA from 1 species
AACGGGGGGAGCAAGCGUUGUUCGGAUUUACUGGGCGUAAAGCGUGCGCAGGCGGUUUUGUAAGCCAGAUGUGAAAGCCCCGGGCUCAACCUGGGAAUGGCAUUUGGGACUGCAAGGCUGGAGUUUGGCAGAGGAGACUGGAAUUCCUGGUGUAGCAGUGAAAUGCGUAGAUAUCAGGAGGAAUACCGAUGGCGAAGGCAGGUCUCUGGGCUAUAACUGACGCUCAUGCACGAAAGCGUGGGGAGCAAACAGG